UACGUAGGGGGCAAGCGUUGUUCGGAAUUACUGGGCGUAAAGGGCGCGUAGGCGGCCCUGUCAGUCGGGUGUGAAAGCCCGGGGCUCAACCCCGGAACGGCACCCGAGACGGCAGGGCUGGAGACCGGGAGAGGAGGGUGGAAUAGCCAGUGUAGAGGUGAAAUUCGUAGAUAUUGGCUGGAACACCGGUGGCGAAAGCGGCUCUCUGGCCCGGUUCUGACGCUGAGGCGCGAAAGCGUGGGGAGCAAACAGG
rnacentral:rRNA from 1 species